GAUGAACGCUGGCGGCGUGCUUAACACAUGCAAGUCGAACGAUGAAGCCCAGCUUGCUGGGUGGAUUAGUGGCGAACGGGUGAGUAACACGUGAGUAACCUGCCCUUAACUCUGGGAUAAGCCUGGGAAACUGGGUCUAAUACCGGAUAGGAGCGUCCACCGCAUGGUGGGUGUUGGAAAGAUUUAUCGGUUUUGGAUGGACUCGCGGCCUAUCAGCUUGUUGGUGGGGUAAUGGCUCACCAAGGCGACGACGGGUAGCCGGCCUGAGAGGGUGACCGGCCACACUGGGACUGAGACACGGCCCAGACUCCUACGGGAGGAAGCAGUGGGGAAUAUUGCACAAUGGGCGCAAGCCUGAUGCAGCGACGCCGCGUGGGGGAUGACGGCCUUCGGGUUGUAAACCUCUUUCAGUAGGGAAGAAGCGAAGUGACGGUACCUGCAGAAGAAGCACCGGCUAACUACGUG
rnacentral:rRNA from 1 species